UUUGUCCUACGGGACGCAGCAGUGAGGAAUAUUGGUCAAUGGGCGGAAGCCUGAACCAGCCAAGUCGCGUGAGGGAAUAAGGCCCUACGGGUCGUAAACCUCUUUUGCCGGGGAGCAAGGGCCGGGACGAGUCCCGGUCCGGAGAGUACCCGGAGAAAAAGCAUCGGCUAACUCCGUGCCAGCAGCCGCGGUAAUACGGAGGAUCCAAGCGUUAUCCGGAUUUAUUGGGUUUAAAGGGUGCGUAGGCGGAUUGAUAAGUUAGAGGUGAAAUGUCCGAGCUUAACUCGGGAACUGCCUCUAAUACU
rnacentral:rRNA from 1 species